rnacentral:rRNA from 1 species
UACGUAGGGUGCGAGCGUUGUCCGGAAUUAUUGGGCGUAAAGGGCUCGUAGGCGGUUUGUCGCGUCGGGAGUGAAAACACUGGGCUUAACUCAAUGCUGGCUUUCGAUACGGGCAGACUAGAGGUAUGCAGGGGAGAACGGAAUUCCUGGUGUAGCGGUGAAAUGCGCAGAUAUCAGGAGGAACACCGGUGGCGAAGGCGGUUCUCUGGGCAUUACCUGACGCUGAGGAGCGAAAGUGUGGGUAGCAAACAGG